ensembl:lncRNA
GAAAUGUAAAUAAAAAUACUAUGUGUUUUUGGUUGACACAAUCAAGAGUCCCGCAGGAUUGUACCGUUUGUUCUUCCUCGGUAACAACUAUGACCAGCAAGUUCUGUGCCAAUAAGGCCAGAACCAAAGGAUCAAAGUGGCAUUGAGUUACUGAGUAGAGAUCGUGUGCCCUGGACAGUGUCCCAGAUUUGCAGUAAACCUUACAUAAAUGAGGAGGGAGAUUUUGUUGUAAUAAGUCAAUAUUACUAUGAAGCUGUUUGUUACAGUGUAGCAGGCAUGUGCAGGAAAGAGUUAAUUGAUCAGAUCUGAGUUGCAUAAAACUUGCACAUUCCCACAAGGGACUAGUUUUUUUGACUGGCCCUUGGUGGGCUCCUGAGAAUUGGUGCUUAUGUGAUCGGCCUCUCAUAAAAACCCCAGACUUAGGCUCAAGCAAGCUUCUCACUGUACUUAUGUAGCUAUAGUUUAUAGUAGGAAGAAUUAAGUGUGACUAUUGUGAGAGAAAUCUCUUAAAACUUACUUCUGGUUUUCUCCAGGCUUUGCCUGAUGCUUCAUUUGCUGAUUUUACUUUGUAAAUUUGACUACAAUAAACUCUGACCAUAAGUGAAUCCCAAGUUCUGUGAGUCCUUUUAGAGAGUCAACAAACCUAGGGUGAUCUUUGGGACUAUUGAGACACUCCCCUAAACUAUACAGAAAAUUAAUAUUGGAAGUAGGACCUAUCACGAUAAAAACCUGAAAUAUUUGUCAUUGCUGUUAUGGAGGUCUAAAGUAUGGUGAUUUGCAGAAAUUUUGUCAUAUGUGAUAGAAUGGCAAAAUGCUUGUCUAGGCUAAUUUGAGAAUUAGAUCUAUAGAUAAUGAACUUGUCCUCCAGAUCUGGGAGUCUGGAAAAAAAGUUUGGAAAACAAAUUUUAGGGUUGUGUUUUGAAUGGAAUUGACCACAUUUUGUAGGGCAUUUUGAGAAAGUGAUGAGCUCAGCAAAGAAUUGGCCAUGGAACAGAGUUAACAAGCAUUCCAGCUCUUGCAACAAUAGUGAAUGUAACUGCUUUUGAAUUAUAAACUAUAAGUGAUUAAUAUAUUAAGGACUUUGAAAGUCAACAAACCUGUAAAAACUCAGCCGUGAAACAAUGAUUAAAUUAAGGAACAUUCCACCUUUUGUUAAAACUUCUCAAAAGACUUAAGUAUCUUAAAACAAAAAAUCAGAUUAAGUAUCAAUGCCCAAUAAAUUAAUACUAUCUCUUAAAAUACCUUGAGGUAAAUAUAAGAUUUAGAGUAUGUUUUUCAUUUACAAUUCAAAAUAGACUCAGUAAGCUGAUAAAUAAAUGUAAGAGAUUAAAAAAAUAAAAAAAUCAAAGAAACAUACUGGACCUGAGAACAUGUAAAAAAUGUCUUUGAAGCAACUGCAGGUAUGGUUCCUAGUAUAUGGAUCUGAAUUGAUUCAAGCAUAUAAAAGUCCUACAGUGUUUUUUGUUGUUAUUGUUUUUAAAUAACACUGUAUUGCUACAGAAACUUGGAGAACACACUGAAAAAGCCUGUGAUUCUUUGAGACUAACAAAUGAUCUUUGCAUUUGUCGAAAAUAUUGAUUAUGUUCACCCGCUCCAGGAAUCACUUCCAACAAUUCCUGAAACAAUCCCUUUAACUGAGGACUAUAAAGGACUAUGCAGGAAACUUUGCAGACUGGUAUCAGACAGAGCAGAAUUUGGAUCCAAGUUCCAUUAUGGACUAGCUAUGGAACAUUGGGCUAUUUAAAUGGGAAUAAUUAUAAUGCCAUUUCAAAAGGCCAUUGUGAAGAUUAAAUGCAUGUAAUUGCUUAGUAUAAUUUCUGCCACAUAGAAAGCAUCCAAUAAAUGUUAACAUUUACUGUCAAAAUUAUUUUUGGGCUUCCAUGCUUCUACGGGCAGGUAGUGGGUUGAGAAACUGUUACAGCCCCAAGAAGGACAUAUUCCCCAAACACGUCAAAUAUGAGCAAAGAGACUACUGUAAGAGGGAAAAAAAAAAAAGAGAGAAACAACUCUCUGAAGAUAGAAUGAGGAGGUUUCUGAGGACAAUGCAAAAGCGAACUUCCUCCCAGAGAGCAGAAUAAGGGCUCCAUUAAAGAAUAUUCCCUACCCUCAGGUGAGGCUGCUCACAUAACGUCUGCCCAGUGGGAUUUAAAAAUUUCCAAAGACCAAUGACCUCUAUUUAUUCUUCUCUGUUCAAAAUCAGGAUGUUUGUUGUAAUUAUCCUAGCUUUAUUUUACUAUUAUACCCUACAUAUGUGAGUGGGGGCAAAUGGUUGUCUUUAGAGUUGAUAGGUUCCAGUUCAAGAGGAGCCACAUCCAGACCUGAUAGAGAGACAGUCACACAACACCUAAACUUUAGAGCUGUUAUAGGAUCAGAUUUGGGUGAUCUUCCUUGGCAGGCGGAUGUGUGCUUUGCAAAAAAAAAUUAAACUUAACAUACUAGAACUGGAAGAACAAAUUAGCAAACUUUACCAGUGCUCAUAGUAUCCAAUUUUCCUCUCAUUCCUUAGUUUAUAGAAGAUGUACUUCCCGGCUGGGUGUGGUGGCUAACGCCUGUGAUCCAGCAGUUUGGGAGGCCAAGGCAGGCAGAGCUCAUGAGGCCAGGAGUUUGAGAACAGCCUGGUCAACAUGGUGAAACCUGGGGUUCUACAGAAAAAAUUAGGUGAGCGUGGUGGUGCACGCCUGUGAUCCCAGCUACUCAGGAGGAUGAGGGAGGAGAAUUGCUUGAACCUGGGAGGUAGAGGUUGCAGUGAGCCGAGAUGGUGCCACUUUACUCCAGCCUGGGUGACAGAGUGUGACUCCAGCUCAAAAAAAAAAAAAAA